rnacentral:rRNA from 1 species
AUUGAACGCUGGCGGCAGGCCUAACACAUGCAAGUCGAACGAGUGGCGGACGGGUGAGUAAUGUCUGGGAAACUGCCUGAUGGAGGGGGAUAACUACUGGAAACGGUAGCUAAUACCGCAUACCAUCAGAUGUGCCCAGAUGGGCUUAGCUAGUAGGUUGGGUAACGGCUCACCUAGGCGCCUAUCCCUAGCUGGUCUGAGAGGAGGACCAGUCACACUGGAACUGAGACACGGUACAGACUCCAACGGGAGGCAGCAGUGGGGAAUAUGGCACAAUGGGCGCAAGCCUGAUGCAGCCAUGACGCGUGUAUGAGGAAGGCCUUCGGGUUGUAAAGUACUUUCAGCGGGGAGGCGUUACCCGCAGAAGAAGCACCGGCUAACUCCGUGCCAGCAGCCGCGGUAAUAC